UAAGUUUUUUUUUUAAAUAUGAAUUAUCCAUAAAAUAUUGGAUGAUUGUUUUUCCUACAAUAACAAGUGAAAAUCACAUUUAAUUUUUGCAAAAAUGACAAACUGAUGCAUGUUACAGGAUGAUUUAACUCAUGAAUUAUCGUGGGAUAUAUUACGAAAUACAACAAAAGUAAAAAAUGAUCAGGUCACUCUGACUUCAUGUGAUUAGUUCACAUUUAGAUUAUGAUAUUCUGAAUGUACCGUAUUGACCCAAAUAUAGGACGACCCCCCCCCCCCCCAUUUCUAAAAAGCUGGCGCCCUCUGCUGUUGCAGUCGUAACGAUCCCAGGCAACUAUCAGCAUUUGUCAAUGGUUAGACCCCGAUUAUAAAACGACACCGUAUUCUUACAUUAUUUUCAACGAAGAAAACCUCGUCCUAUGUUCAAGUCAAUAUGGUGAAUCUGUUUUUCAUACUUUAUUUGGUAUGCAACAAAUUAGCUACCGUAAUUUCCGGACUAUAGAGCGCACCUCAAUAUAAGCUGCACCAACAAAAAAAAAAGGUUUUCUACACACGCCGCACUCAAAUACAAGUCGCGGCGCAGCAGCCACAUGCAGGUCUCCGGCAAACAGCGCAUGGACGGCCAUAACAUAAGAUAAUUCUUCCUCCGCAAACUAAGAAGAGCAAGAGCACCAGCCCCCAUCCUGUACACUUUCUACAGAGGCACCAUCGAGAGCAUCCUGUCGUGCGGCAUCACUGUGUGGUUCGGAGCCUGCAACGUUUCCUGCAUUAAAACCCUCCAACGUAUAGUGAGAGCAGCAGAGAAGAUCAUUGGGGUCUCUCUCCCCUCCCUACCAGACAUUUACAGCACCCGCCUCACAAAAAAGGCCCUUCACAUUGCGGCUGAUCCCACUCACCCGAUGCAAAGCCUCUUCGAGCUGCUGCCGUCAGGAAGGAGACUGCGGAGUCUCAAGGCCAGGACCAACAGACUGAAGGAUAGCUUUAUCCAUCAGGCAGUUAGGAAGCUAAACUCCCUCCCGGCUCUCCCAACUCUCCUCUCUUUUCCCCCACAGUCUCUCUGAACUUGGUUACUGUUUUUAUACUAAAUGUUUAUUUUCUAUCUAGCGAGAGUUUGAGAGUAACGUAAUUUCAUUUCUCUGUAUGUCCUGUACAUGUGGCAGAAGUGACAAUUAAACUGACUUUGACUUUGACUUAAACAGGAAGACGCUACACGGAGGUUUUUCGUUGUUGUUUUAAUUCAACAAAACAAAUUUUAAACACGGGUGAACGUGCCUGCAAGUUUAGAAAAGAAAACAGCUCUGAUAGCAUUCUUAUUUCUGGAUGGUUAUAAAAUAAAAACAGCACUGACACGUUAUUACCGGUAAUUUGCAUAUUUAGAAGAAAAGAACAGCGCUGACACAGCAUUAAUAAGCCCUGGAUGAUUAGAAAAUAAAAACUGCACACAAAACAUGCCUGGUUAGUAAAUAAAACACACUUGCCUACCAGAAAAAGUCAUUCGCUCUCAUCUUCCUCCUGCGCACUAAAGCCAUUAAAGUCCUCUUCUUCAGUGUCGGAGUUGAACAGCCUCAGAAGAGCUUCGUCACAUACCUUUUCUGUGGCGAUGUCAGCGUCGCUGUCCGUGUUGCUGUCAUCAUCCCCGGGUGAAGCUGGCUUGAAUGAGUUCUUCCUGCUGCCGUCUCCAGUGCCGAACCAUGGGUUCAUUCAUGCCAAGCUUACGUGCGGCAGCACUGUUUCCCUCCUUUACUGCCAGAUCGAUGGCCUUCAACUUAAAUGUGGCAUCAUAUGAACUCAUACGUGUAGUUUCCAUGAUGAGGGGGUAUGGAUUUGAAACAAAUUCUUCGUCGUGCCGGCUGCUUGCAUGUGCUAAAUUAAAAUGAGCACUUUCUUCCAUUUCCACUUUUGACUUCCACCUGUUUCACUUUCUGCUAAAGCGCCCCCUGCAGGUGAAGGAAAAUCUUCAGUAAAGCCGCACCUCAUUAUUAGCCGCAUGGUUCAAAGCGUGGGAAAAAAGUAGCGGCUUAUAGUCCGGAAAAUACGGCCUUGGCUUCAUCAGAAGCCAUCUGAAGGAGCAACCCGUGUUGCAGCCAGGUGACACGUCCUUUUCUUCAGAGGAGGAGGACUUCUUUUUCACCAUCAGGCAGGCCAACGAUCAGGAAAACGCCAAGCAGCUGGAGUCCUACCUGGCCUGUCCAUCAGAUUCUAUGGAUAUCUUGAAAUCUUUAUCACUGAAGCUGAACACACCUCUGCCUGCCUCAGCUGCUUUUCAGCACUGCAGGACUCAUUUUCAGACCCAAAAGGGCACGUGUUGAUGCAAAGAACCUGGAAAACCAGCUUCUGAUGAAGCUCAAUAAAAAGUUUAUUUAGUCUCAAACGGUCAAUUCCUCUCAAAAGGAAAUAAUACUUGAGGAUUUGAAGUGACCUUGAUUCCAUGAUCACAAUGUUUUAAGUCAAGUUGCCGAAAAAACUAUUUCGGUUAAAUGCUCCCAUAUGUGGUGACAGCAAUAACAUUAAUAGCAUCGUAUCUCCAGGAAUUAUUGUUGUUGUUGAAAUAAACUUCUCAUUCCAAA